GGGGGUGUUUGCUCGGCUGGUGCCGGCCCCGGUCUUCAAAACCGGUGAGGGGUGUGAACAACGCCCCUGGUGGGUUCGAUUCCCAUCCACCCCCGCC
rnacentral:tRNA from 1 species